CCUACGGGAGGCAGCAGUGGGGAAUUUUGGACAAUGGGGGCAACCCUGAUCCAGCCAUUCCGCGUGAGUGAAGAAGGCCUUCGGGUUGUAAAGCUCUUUCGGCAGGAACGAAACGGCGGGCUCUAACAUAGCCUGUCACUGACGGUACCUGAAGAAGAAGCACCGGCUAACUACGUGCCAGCAGCCGCGGUAAUACGUAGGGUGCGAGCGUUAAUCGGAAUUACUGGGCGUAAAGCGUGCGCAGGCGGUUCCAUAAGACAGAUGUGAAAUCCCCGGGCUUAACCUGGGAACUGCGUUUGUGACUGUGGGACUCGAGUGUGGCAGAGGGGGGUGGAAUUCCACGUGUAGCAGUGAAAUGCGUAGAGAUGUGGAGGAACACCGAUGGCGAAGGCAGCCCCCUGGGUCAACACUGACGCUCAUGCACGAAAGCGUGGGGAGCAAACAGGAUUAGAUACCCUGGUAGUCCACGCCCUAAACGAUGCGAACUAGGUGUUGGGGAAGGAGACUUUCUUAGUACCGCAGCUAACGCGUGAAGUUCGCGCCUGGGAGUACGUCGCAGAUUAAAACUCAAAGGAAUUGACGG
rnacentral:rRNA from 1 species